rnacentral:misc_RNA from 1 species
GAAAUGCGAUAAGUAAUGUGAAUUGCAGAAUUCAGUGAAUCAUCGAAUCUUUGAACGCACAUUGCGCCCGCCAGUAUUCUGGCGGGCAUGCCUGUUCGAGCGUCAUUUCAACCAUCAAGCCCCUGGCUUGUGUUGGGGACCUGCGGCUGCCCGCAGGCCCUGAAAAACAGUGGCGGGCUCGCUGUCACACCGAGCGUAGUAGCAUACAUUCUCGCUCAGGGCGUGCUGCGGGUUCCGGCCGUUAAACGACCUUCAUAACCCAAGGUUGACCUCGGAUCAGGUAGGAAGACCCGCUGAACUUAAGC